rnacentral:rRNA from 1 species
CCUGACAAACCCAAAAGAUCGAAUGGGGAUAUUCAUCCUCAGCUCAUUUUGUAUCUGUASGAGUUAUGAAGCGAGUUACUCUUGUAGUUAUUUUGCUUGUACAUACUUCUACAUCUAUCCGCAAGUUGUAGUCAGCGUGCACUUCUCCUCUAGUAGAACCGUCUCGCGACCCGUUGGGUGUUGAUCUACGACCCGAGUGGGAGACUUUAAUAUUUUAUUAUAUUAAAGACCCUUGGUGUUUUUUGAUCAGCUGCCCGGCGGUACUCGUACGGUAUUUAGCCGCAAUUUUAUUUGCGUCCAUGUCCGUUGCAAGCGAGGCUAAUUUCUGGUAGUGCGGACCUAGUGCCGUCGCUGGGAUUCGCCAGCUGUUGGCUAUUCGGAAUUCUGGGACUGGCUAAAAUUAAUUACCGGUCGGCGAUGCUAUUGCUUUGGUAC